CUCUCACGUGCCCGGCAUGUGGAUUGGAAUCAUCAUGUUGUUCGCGCAUCGCGCGUUAGUUUUCCCAUCUGGCCUCGCCUGCCAGUGUCCCAUGUGCCCGUGCUUCCGUCUUUCUGAUCUUCUGCUGCAUUUGCUCUCUUCCCGCUGCAUUCUCUCUCCCAUUACAUUCUCUUUCUUUCUUUUUUUGGUUUUUUUUGGGAUAAUGUUGCUCUAUCACUUAUCCGCAUCCUCUGGAACCUGGUACAAAAUUUUGUUGACCUCCUCCUUUGUUUUGUUGUAAUAGGCUUUCUUCUUCAUCUCCGGUGAGGUCAGAUCUUCUCUUCGGGUUACCUCUGGACGUGCCAUCUUCACUGUUGGUUGCAGAUCUUGUGCUUUCUUCUUUCUCUCCAGUGAGGUCGGGUCUUCUCUUCAGGUUGCUCUGUAUUCAUGUUUUUCUCCUCCUCUGUAAAAACUUGUUUGAUGCUAAUGGUUCUUGUGUUUUGUUGUGCAAGCAUUUUUUUCAUUGCUUUUAGGAGACUGGUUUGUGAUUUCUUUGGUAGCUGGGAUUUGGACUCUGGAAGCCGUUUGUUUGGCUGCCCCUCUUUACUUGUCUUUCCCUCUCCUCCCCAUCAUCAAAUUCCAGCCACAUCUUCUAAUGUAGCUCUCUACUACUUACAGACGGAAUCCGCAGUAGAAGUUUCUGAACUGAAAAAGGAAAGCUAAUCUCAGGGAGAUAGAUAGAAGAGAAGGUACGAUGGCGUCCAAGAUGCAGAGUAUCGCGGUUCUUCAGACCGAGAAUAACCUUGCAACCGGAGCUUUGUGGAAAUUGUGGCUCCUGUUUUCUCGCGGGAUGCUUGGCGAUGUGUUUGGCAUAUGAUUCAGAAUGAUUUGGUGCAUGGUUGGGGAUUGGAUUUUGCACUAAGGAGAUGUGUGGAGCCUGCACAUGAGAAAAUUGAUGUGGUUGACUCUCAGUGGAUAGUUCAUCAAGUUAUUCCUUCUCUGGGAAGUCAGGGUCAAUCUGAAAAUGGAAAAGCUCCUUGGCAAGGGGUAAGAGAGAGGUGCAGAAGUGAGUGGGUGCAGUUUCAAGAUCGCCUAGCCAAUGCAGAUAAGAAAUAUAUUGAACAGUUUGGGAGGACUUUGAAUUAGCUAAUUUCUGGAACGAGGUAUUUGAACAACAGAAAGUUUUGUAUCCUUCUAAGUUUUCUUGCAUUUGGCUCUGAUUGGAAAAGAAAUAUAGAGACAUUGGAGAAAAUAGUGUAACCAGUCUGAGGACAUUGAUCAAUCUUGGUUCUGAAGUGUACAUGCAAGCUGAUGUAAUUCUGAACUGACUGCUCAUGUGGCCAAGCAGUAAAGAGGAAGGAAUCUGCUGUCCUAUGUUAGGCAUUGUCGUUUGAUUAUGAGUGCAGUUUCAUUGGAUGUUUUUUAGUUAAUGUGUAUUAUGUAGUUAUAGUUGUUAGAGGACUCAAGCACAGAAAUUCUGUAAUAGCUAGGUUGUUGCCAUUUCAGUUUGUUGCCAUUCUGUAAUAGCUAGGUAUGUAUUGAUCAUAUAAUUUCUGAAGCAUUCUUGAUGGGAGAAAAAGACUUUGGGGUAAAGAAUCAAGAAAUCAUAUAGAGAACAAAGUUGAAAUUAAUCUUCUCUGGCCUCCAAAGACGAAAAUUCGCUGAGAAGACAAGAGCAACAGCCGUGAUGAAAGGAUUGUUUUACUACCAUUACUUCCUUACAAGGACUAAGGACAAUUCAUGAGAUCAUGAAAUCUCAGAAUCAGUUCUCCAUCGUAUUGUCUCAUCUAUGAAUCCAUUCCUAAAACAUGACUGGACUACAUUCAAUUGCUUCUAUCAAUUUUAUCUAUCAAAGUACAAGUACAAGCUGGAUCUACCAGAAUUUGCGAAUCUAAGGCUAAAUGAAGAUAGUACGACGACUAUAACUCUUACAAAUAGUCAUAAAUAUUAUCAUGUUGGUAUGACCGGCAGAUGUUUUGAUCAAAACUGGAACCGUUUUGUUAUUGAUCAUGAUCUAAAAAAUGGCCAGAUAUUGCUUUUUAUUCCACAAUCCAAGACUCCCUUUGUUGUGCUGGUGUUUGACCGCAAAGGAAUAGAGAAGUUGUUUCUAUGGCAGUUUGCAUUUUCCAUUUGAUGGCACAUCUGAUUUACGUUGAUUCUGCUUCAACGCAAUGCACGGCAUUUGUUGUAUUUAUGUUCUUAAUGGAAAAAAGUUCUGGUUAGAAAAAUGCUUCCAAAGCACUGCAAAUUUAAUGUUUA